rnacentral:ncRNA from 1 species
AGUGCAGAUUUGAUUCUGGUUUCAAUUAUAAAGGGGUUACUGAUGAUACAUGCUAAUCGUUAUGCACCAGUGAGAGAUGGGGGCGCUAAGAGUUUAAGUUUUAACGCAAAUUGAAGCAUAUUAUUGUUAUUUGCUUUGUCUUACCACUCUAUACAGCAAGAGCAGUACUUAAUAUUGGAGAAGGUGUGAGAGCAUGCUUCAGCAGUGGUUAUACUAGUGUGGCAAAGAUUGUGCCAGCCGCCGCGGUUACACCUGAACAAAUAUUUAUAAUACACGUAUCUGUAAUUUUCAUAGCAAGUUAAGAUUAUCUAAGAGGUGAUGUCGUAUGCUUUCUCGUUUGUAAAUCUUAAAAGUGUUAAUUACACGAAGUAAAGGUAUAAACCAGGAUUAGAGACCCUGCUAUUCUUUACCAGUUAACAGUUGGUUAGUACGAAUUAUGUUUGAAAACUAAAGAUUUUGGCAGUGGAUAAUGUCUAUUCAGAGGAGUUUGUUCAGUAAAAUCGAUAAUCCGCGAGGAUCUUACUCUAUUUGGUGUUCAACUUAUAUACCGCCGUCGUCAGCUAAUGUCAUAAGGGUGUAAGAAUUAGCUAAGAGAUGGAUAUCUAAACGUCAGGUCAGGGUGUAGUCAAUAGUAGAGGUUGGAAUGAAUUACAGUUAUUUAGCAAUACCGGAUAUUACUCAUGAAACUAGUAAUUGAAGUUGGAUUUGGUUGUAAAUUUGUAUUAUGAUGAUAUAUUGACUGUAGCGCUUAUCUAUGCACACACCGCCCGUCAUUUUCCUGAAAUCAUAAAGGAAAGAAGUCGUAACAAGGUAGGGCAUCCGGAAGGAUCCCCUGGGGAAUUAUAG